UAUCGUCAUUGUAUUGUGUUAAUCAUCUAGGUAAUUCUGGUUAAUUUUCCCAACUACAGGUGGCCAACUUUGCUAAGACAAGUGCUUCUCAUUCUUAUGUGACUGAAGGGUCUCGACCUGCAAUUCCAUUUGUUGUAUAUGAGGGUGUUAAGGAGGUAGCUGACAUCAUGAGUCGUCCUGAUUGGCCCAAUCACAAACUUCAAUCUGAUUUGCAUCAAGCUGAGUAUAUACUUAUGGUGACUUGUCGCGCUUUCCGCAACUUGUUGCCAACUGGCUGGAGAUACGCACGGGAGUAUGCCAGUGUU